GCAGAGGCAGCUCUGACAAGAGCCUCGUGAAGCCUGUUCUUUCAACCUACUUCUGCUGCGUCAUUUGUCAAUUUGUCAUGCCCAGAUGUCAAUGAGUCACAGCUAGUAGCUUCAACUGACCUAUUUUUGCCUUUGUCAUGCCGCAGGAUCCAUAUGAACAACGCGAAAGGGUUCAAUGCAGUUCUGUGAUCGUCAUUGCUAAGGAUAAAUGUUCCAUGUGGUACUAAGGAAGACUGCCACCUGAAGUUUGAAAGAAGGAUCACAUCUGACCAGAGGCAUACCUAAGGACAUGCAGAUUAGCAAGAUGAGACCUUUUGGGUCUCGUGCAGCUAUGAACAUAUCAGCAAAAACAAGUGAGUGAUGGAGAAGAAGGAUGUGGCCCCUGCCUGACAGCCAGUGUGGUGCAAAGCUCAG